rnacentral:rRNA from 1 species
AACGUAGGAGACAAACGUUAUCCGGAGUUACUGGGCGUAAAGGGCGUGUAGGCGGUCUGUUAAGUCUGGCGUGAAAGCUCUCGGCUAAACCGGGAGAGGUCGUUGGAUACUGGCAAACUAGAGGACGGUAGAGGCGUGUGGAAUUCCGGGUGUAGUGGUGAAAUGCGUAGAGAUGCGGAGGAACACCAGUGGCGAAAGCGGCUUUCUGGUCCUUAACUGACGCUGAGGCGCGAAAGCAUGGGGAGCGAACGGG